rfam:Trichinella spiralis unplaced genomic scaffold Scfld2675, whole genome shotgun sequence.
CACUGUUAACGGUGGAUCACUUGGCUCGUACGUCGAUGAAAAACGAGGCGAGACUCGAAAGUUUAUGUGAAUUGCAGCCACGUUGAACAUAGAAAUUUUGAACGCACAUUGCGGUGUUGAGUUGACUCGACGCCGCGUCUGUCUGAGGUUCG